rnacentral:rRNA from 1 species
GAUGAACGCUAGCGGCAGGCCUAAUACAUGCAAGUCGAGGGGCAGCAUAGUAGCAAUACUGAUGGCGACCGGCGCACGGGUGCGUAACGCGUAUGCAACCUACCUUUUACNGGGGGAUAGCCCGGAGAAAUUCGGAUUAACACCGCAUAAUAAGUUGAAGUGGCAUCACUUUAAUUUAAAUAUUUAUAGGUAAGAGAUGGGCAUGCGUCCAAUUAGCUAGUUGGNGAGGUAACGGCUCACCAAGGCGAUGAUUGGUAGGGUUCUGAGAGGAGGUCCCCACACUGGUACUGAGAUACGGACCAGACU